rnacentral:misc_RNA from 1 species
GAUGAAGAACGUAGCGAAAUGCGAUACGUAAUGUGAAUUGCAGAUUUCAGUGAAUCAUCGAAUCUUUGAACGCACAUUGCGCCCGCUAGUAUUCUGGCGGGCAUGCCUGUUCGAGCGUCAUUUCAACCAUCAAGCCCUGUGCUUGUGUUGGAGCCCUGCGGCUGCCGCAGGCUCCCAAACCCAGUGGCGGGCUCGUCGUCGUACCGAGUGCAGUAAACAUACCACGCUCAGGGCACGCGACGGGUGACCGGCCGUAAAACCCCCCCCUUCUCAAGGUUGACCUCGGAUCAGGUAGGAAUACCCGCUGAACUUAAGCAUAUCAAUAAGCGGAGA